AGAGUUUGAUUAUGGCUCAGGGUGAACGCUAGCUACAGGCUUAACACAUGCAAGUCGAGGGGCAUCGAGGGAAAGCUUGCUUCCUGUCGGCGACCGGCGCACGGGUGAGUAACGCGUAUCCAACCUUCCCCUUAGUAGGGCAUAGCCCGGCGAAAGUCGGAUUAAUACCCUAUGUUUUUCCGAUGAGGACAUCUGAGCUGGAAUAAAGAUUUAUCGCUAAGGGAUGGGGAUGCGUCUGAUUAGGUAGUCGGCGGGGUAACGGCCCACCGAGCCUACGAUCAGUAGGGGUUCUGAGAGGAAGGUCCCCCACAUUGGUACUGAGACACGGACCAAACUCCUACGGGAGGCAGCAGUGAGGAAUAUUGGUCAAUGGGCGAGAGCCUGAACCAGCCAAAGUAGCGUGCAGGAUGACGGCCCUAUGGGUUGUAAACUGUCUUUUAGUCGGGGGAUAAAGUGAGGGACGCGUCCCUUUUUGUAGGUACCCGAUGAAUAAGGACCGGCUAAUUCCGUGCCAGCCGCCGC
rnacentral:rRNA from 1 species